UUGAACUUUAAUGAAGAGUUUGGUUGUAGCUGGCCCAUUCAUUUGGGCAUGUGCACACCUUCCUCUUUCAUCCCACACACACCUGUGAACCUGUGAGACAGAGAUGGGGAAUUUACUUGCUGCUUUUUGGAUACAAAGGCAAUAGGUUAUUGGACCCCCCCUCUGUCUACUCAAUUAAUAUAAACUCAAUUUAUUUUAAAACGAAUGUAAUGGAUGUAACACAUCUCAUAC
rnacentral:misc_RNA from 1 species